AGGUAACUGUAUCUUUUCUUGGAUCUUUAUUGGGUUGGGACUCUCAUCAGCUGAUUGUUUACGAUAUUUGCUCUUAGAUUUUGAGUUCUUAAAACAAAAAUUACUUCCAGGGAGCACCUGUCAAGGUGAGGAGACCUAGCGACUAUAAUCCAUCUCUUGCUGCGACACUUGGUCCAAGCCAGCCCAAUCCUAAUCUUAACCUCGCAGCAGUUGGCUUAACUCCAGGCUCUGCUGGUGGACUUGAGGGUCCUGACCGCAUCUUUGUGGGUGGGCUUCCCUAUUACUUCACAGAAGCACAAAUCAGAGAGUUGUUGGA
rnacentral:lncRNA from 1 species